rnacentral:rRNA from 1 species
UGGGGAAUAUUGGACAAUGGGGGCAACCCUGAUCCAGCGACGCCGCGUGGGUGAAGAAGGCCUGCGGGUUGUAAAGCCCUUUCGGUGGGGAUAAAAAGCCUUGGUUUAACACACCAGGGUCUUGAUCUAACCCAAGAAAGAAGCACCGGCUAACUCUGUGCCAGCAGCCGCGGUAAUACAGAGGGUGCGAGCGUUAAUCGGAAUUACUGGGCGUAAAGCGCACGUAGGUGGCUUUGCAAGUCGAUUGUGAAAUCCCCGGGCUUAACCUGGGAACUGCAGUCGAGACUGCUUUGCUUGAGUAUGGGAGAGGGAGGUGGAAUUUCCGGUGUAGCGGUGAAAUGCGUAGAUAUCGGAAGGAACAUCAGUGGCGAAGGCGACCACCUGGGCUCAUACUGACACUGAGGUGCGAAAGCGUGGGGAGCAAAC